rnacentral:rRNA from 1 species
GUUCGAACGGGUAACAUUUCUAGCUUGCUAGAAGAUGACGAGUGGCGGACGGGUGAGUAAUGCUUGGGAACUUGCCUUUGCGAGGGGGAUAACAGUUGGAAACGACUGCUAAUACCGCAUAAUGUCUACGGACCAAACGGGGCUUAGGCUCCGGCGCAAAGAGAGGCCCAAGUGAGAUUAGCUAGAUGGUGAGGUAAAGGCUCACCAUGGCGACGAUCUCUAGCUGUUCUGAGAGGAAGAUCAGCCACACUGGGACUGAGACACGGCCCAGACUCCUACGGGAGGCAGCAGUGGGGAAUAUUGCACAAUGGGGGAAACCCUGAUGCAGCCAUGCCGCGUGUGUGAAGAAGGCCUUCGGGUUGUAAAGCACUUUCAGUUGUGAGGAAAAGUUGGUAGUUAAUACCUGCCAGCCGUGACGUUAACAACAGAAGAAGCACCGGCUAACUCCGUGCCAGCAGCCGCGGUAAUACGGAGGGUGCGAGCGUUAAUCGGAAUUACUGGGCGUAAAGCGCACGCAGGCGGUUUGUUAAGCUAGAUGUGAAAGCCCCGGGCUCAACCUGGGACGGUCAUUUAGAACUGGCAGACUAGAGUCUUGGAGAGGGGAGUGGAAUUCCAGGUGUAGCGGUGAAAUGCGUAGAUAUCUGGAGGAACAUCAGUGGCGAAGGCGACUCCCUGGCCAAAGACUGACGCUCAUGUGCGAAAGUGUGGGUAGCGAACAGGAUUAGAUACCCUGGUAGUCCACACCGUAAACGCUGUCUACUAGCUGUGUGUGAAUUUAAUUCGUGCGUAGCGAAGCUAACGCGCUAAGUAGACCGCCUGGGGAGUACGGCCGCAAGGUUAAAACUCAAAUGAAUUGACGGGGGCCCGCACAAGCGGUGGAGCAUGUGGUUUAAUUCGAUGCAACGCGAAGAACCUUACCUACACUUGACAUGCAGAGAACUUUCCAGAGAUGGAUUGGUGCCUUCGGGAACUCUGACACAGGUGCUGCAUGGCUGUCGUCAGCUCGUGUCUUGAGAUGUUGGGUUAAGUCCCGCAACGAGCGCAACCCUUGUCCUUAGUUGCCAGCCUUAAGUUGGGCACUCUAAGGAGACUGCCGGUGACAAACCGGAAGGAAGGUGGGGACAACGCCAAGUCAUCAGGGCCCUAA